GAGUGGCGAACGGGUGAGUAACACGUGGGUAACCUGCCCAUCAGAAGGGGAUAACACUUGGAAACAGGUGCUAAUACCGUAUAACAAUCGAAACCGCAUGGUUUUGAUUUGAAAGGCGCUUUCGGGUGUCGCUGAUGGAUGGACCCGCGGUGCAUUAGCUAGUUGGUGAGGUAACGGCUCACCAAGGCCACGAUGCAUAGCCGACCUGAGAGGGUGAUCGGCCACAUUGGGACUGAGACACGGCCCAAACUCCUACGGGAGGCAGCAGUAGGGAAUCUUCGGCAAUGGACGAAAGUCUGACCGAGCAACGCCGCGUGAGUGAAGAAGGUUUUCGGAUCGUAAAACUCUGUUGUUAGAGAAGAACAAGGAUGAGAGUAACUGUUCAUCCCUUGACGGUAUCUAACCAGAAAGCCACGGCUAACUACGUGCCAGCAGCCGCGGUAAUACGUAGGUGGCAAGCGUUGUCCGGAUUUAUUGGGCGUAAAGCGAGCGCAGGCGGUUUCUUAAGUCUGAUGUGAAAGCCCCCGGCUCAACCGGGGAGGGUCAUUGGAAACUGGGAGACUUGAGUGCAGAAGAGGAGAGUGGAAUUCCAUGUGUAGCGGUGAAAUGCGUAGAUAUAUGGAGGAACACCAGUGGCGAAGGCGGCUCUCUGGUCUGUAACUGACGCUGAGGCUCGAAAGCGUGGGGAGCAAACAGGAUUAGAUACCCUGGUAGUCCACGCCGUAAACGAUGAGUGCUAAGUGUUGGAGGGUUUCCGCCCUUCAGUGCUGCAGCUAACGCAUUAAGCACUCCGCCUGGGGAGUACGACCGCAAGGUUGAAACUCAAAGGAAUUGACGGGGGCCCGCACAAGCGGUGGAGCAUGUGGUUUAAUUCGAAGCAACGCGAAGAACCUUACCAGGUCUUGACAUCCUUUGACCACUCUAGAGAUAGAGCUUCCCCUUCGGGGGCAAAGUGACAGGUGGUGCAUGGUUGUCGUCAGCUCGUGUCGUGAGAUGUUGGGUUAAGUCCCGCAACGAGCGCAACCCUUAUUGUUAGUUGCCAUCAUUCAGUUGGGCACUCUAGCAAGACUGCCGGUGACAAACCGGAGGAAGGUGGGGAUGACGUCAAAUCAUCAUGCCCCUUAUGACCUGGGCUACACACGUGCUACAAUGGGAAGUACAACGAGUCGCGAAGUCGCGAGGCUAAGCUAAUCUCUUAAAGCUUCUCUCAGUUCGGAUUGUAGGCUGCAACUCGCCUACAUGAAGCCGGAAUCGCUAGUAAUCGCGGAUCAGCACGCCGCGGUGAAUACGUUCCCGGGCCUUGUACACACCGCCCGUCACACCACGAGAGUUUGUAACACCCGAAGUCGGUGAGGUAACCUUUUGGAGCCAGCCGCCUAAGGUGGGAUAGAUGA
rnacentral:rRNA from 1 species